GGAUGUGAGGGCGAUUUGGCUGUGACAUCUGUCACUCUAUUGAUCACCAGGGUUGAUUUGGCUGACCUGGCUAGCUAGGCUUGGGUCCCCUUCCUCUCUCACUGGUCCAUGUGAGUUCCUCCCAAAACUGGGUGCCUGGCCGAAGAGAACAGACUUCCCCAAUACAGAAGGACCAUUCUUCAAUCAAGGAUAUACAAGUAGCUGUGCUCCCCUGCUAGAACCUCCAAAAAAUCUCUCAAGGUACAUUUGUAGGAGAAAAUAGGGUAGUCAAGCUUGCAAGACUCCAGACACAUCCAAAUGAGGCGCAGCAUAUGGCAGUCUACGUUUCUUU
rfam:Equus caballus chromosome 10, whole genome shotgun sequence.